GGAUUGCAGGCUGAAACCCGCCUGUAUGAAGUUGGAAUCGCUAGUAAUCGCGGAUCAGCAUGCCGCGGUGAAUACGUUCCCGGGCCUUGUACACACCGCCCGUCACACCAUGAGAGUCGGGAACACCCGAAGUCCGUAGUCUAACCGCAAGGGGGACGCGGCCGAAGGUGGGUUCGAUAAUUGGGGUGAAGUCGUAACAAGGUAAC
rnacentral:rRNA from 1 species